GUGCUUGCUCAGCAGUACAUGGACUAAAAUUGGACAGAUACGGGGAAGACGACCGUGGCUCCUGCACACACAGGGUGGCACGUGGAUUUGUGAAAUGUUCCAUAUUUUC
rfam:Otolemur garnettii contig012851, whole genome shotgun sequence.